AUUGAAGGCUUAAGAAGCAAAGACCUUGCAAGUUUGUUAUCGGAAUUGUGGGCUAGCUUUUAUUGUUUAAUAUAUAUAGGUUAAAUUUGGCGUUUGGGGCAGAAUUUAAGAUAAACUAUGCUCUAUAGUUGUUAUUAUACAGUAAAAUUUUAAAUUGAUAACCACGAUGGGUGUGUGACUAAACUCCUAUAUUUGUUCUUAACCUUGGGAUUUGUCGUCGUAUUAAUCCUUGGACAAGACUCGCCAGAGAAAUAUAGAUACAAGUCAUUAACCCUAUUAGGUUAGUACUUAAGUUAUGCUUUUGUUACAUUAAUCCUUCAUCAUGCAUCACUACAUCGGGGAUUGACUUGAACAACGAAAAAUAUAUUGAGGACUUUAAUUUAAUUUCUUUAGUGUAGGGACUAGGGGUUGUCAGGUUGAUAAAACAUGAAUCAAGGUUAGAAACAAAAAUGGAGGUUUGCUCAUCAGAGGUAAAAACAGUUGUUCACUUUAGAUUCUCUAUCAUGAUAAAGCUAAAGUGAACAGAACAGAACAUAACAUAAUAGAGCGUUUUGGGUUUAAGAGCUGCAAUUCUUUGCUGUGACUCCGACGUGCAUCUCCAAGCGUUUAAUAACGCCAAAACAAACAAGCAAUAGAUUGUCAAAUGCUAUCAGAGUAUAUUUUGUCUAUCUUCUUGUACCUUGAUUCCCUUAUUGGCCUCAUUUCAGGACAAGAAAGAAUAUCUCAACUG
rnacentral:lncRNA from 1 species